rnacentral:rRNA from 1 species
CCGCCGGCGACCGGCGCACGGGUGAGUAACACGUAUGCAACCUGGCCGUGACAGAUGGAUAACCGGGAGAAAUCCCGCCUAAUACAACAUAAUGCCGGGAGGGGACAUCCCCUGCCGGCCAAAGGGGUGACCCCGGUCACGGAUGGGCAUGCGGCGCAUUAGGUAGUUGGUGGGGCAACGGCCCACCAAGCCGACGAUGCGUAGGGGUUCUGAGAGGAAGGUCCCCCACAUUGGAACUGAGACACGGUCCAAACUCCUACGGAAGGCAGCAG